GAGCUACUGGUGGAAAUCACACUGCUUUGUCAAGGCAGAGUUGUGGGUUAGAGUCCCACGUAGCUCU
rnacentral:tRNA from 2 species